rnacentral:rRNA from 1 species
GACGGUAAGGCCCUUCGGGGUACACGAGUGGCGAACGGGUGAGUAACACGUGGGUGAUCUGCCCUGCACUUCGGGAUAAGCCCGGGAAACUGGGUCUAAUACCGGAUAGGACUGCGCGGUGCAUGCCGUGUGGUGGAAAGAUUUAUCGGUGCAGGAUGGGCCCGCGGCCUAUCAGCUUGUUGGUGGGGUAAUGGCCUACCAAGGCGACGACGGGUAGCCGGCCUGAGAGGGCGACCGGCCACACUGGGACUGAGACACGGCCCAGACUCCUACGGGAGGCAGCAGUGGGGAAUAUUGCACAAUGGGCGCAAGCCUGAUGCAGCGACGCCGCGUGAGGGAUGACGGCCUUCGGGUUGUAAACCUCUUUCAGCAGGGACGAAGCGUGAGUGACGGUACCUGCAGAAGAAGCACCGGCCAACUACGUGCCAGCAGCCGCGGUAAUACGUAGGGUGCAAGCGUUGUCCGGAAUUACUGGGCGUAAAGAGCUCGUAGGCGGUUUGUCGCGUCGUCUGUGAAAACCAGCAGCUCAACUGUUGGCUUGCAGGCGAUACGGGCAGACUUGAGUAUUUCAGGGGAGACUGGAAUUCCUGGUGUAGCGGUGAAAUGCGCAGAUAUCAGGAGGAACACCGGUGGCGAAGGCGGGUCUCUGGGAAAUAACUGACGCUGAGGAGCGAAAGCGUGGGUAGCGAACAGGAUUA